rnacentral:rRNA from 1 species
AUGGCCAAGGGCUGGAUAUUCUCUGCUUUGCUGGUGCUGUUUCUUGUGAUGGCUCCUGCUUGUGAGGCGUUCUACUUGCCAGGUAGUUACAUGCACACGUACCGGCAAGGCGAGGAGAUAGGAGCAAAGGUGAACUCGCUCACAUCCAUCGAGACAGAACUGCCUUUCAGCUACUACAGCCUCCCAUACUGCCGUCCUAAGGGUGGGAUAAAGAAGAGUGCUGAAAAUCUGGGGGAGCUCCUUAUGGGUGACCAGAUUGAUAAUUCCCCUUACCGUUUCCAUGUCAAUGUCAAUGAAUCGCUCUACCUGUGUACCACGAGCCCACUUGAUGAGGAUGAUGUGAAGCUCCUCAAGCAGCGAAGCCAGGACCUCUACCAGGUGAACAUGAUUCUUGACAAUCUUCCUGUGAGGAGGUUUACCGAGCAGAAUGGAAUGACCAUUCAGUGGACAGGCUAUCCAGUUGGUUAUACCCCAGAAGGUACCUCCGAUGUCUACAUCAUUAAUCACCUGAAAUUUAAAGUCUUGGUCCAUAAGUAUGAAGGAGGUAAAGUGAGGGUCGUUGGAACUGGGGAAGGAAUGGAAGUGAUCUCAGAAUCUGACACUGACACUGAUGCCAAGUCUGGGUAUGAGAUAGUGGGAUUUGAGGUUGUCCCAUGCAGUGUGAAGCGUGAUCCUGAAGCCAUGUCGAAGCUUACGAUGUAUGAAAAGGUUGAUUCUGUGAGCUGCCCUGUGGAGUUGGAGAAAUCUCAAAUGAUCAGGGAGAAGGAGCAGAUUACUUUUACAUACGAGGUUGAAUUUGUAAACAGUGACAUCAGAUGGCCAUCACGGUGGGAUGCAUACCUGAAGAUGGAGGGUGCGAAAAUUCACUGGUUCUCAAUUAUGAACUCGUUGAUGGUAAUACUGUUCUUGGCUGGCAUUGUUUUUGUCAUAUUAUUGCGGACAGUGAGGAGGGACUUGACUAGAUAUGAGGAGCUGGAUAAGGAGUCCCAAGCUCAGAUGAAUGAGGAGCUCUCUGGGUGGAAGCUGGUUGUUGGAGAUGUUUUCAGAGAGCCAACCUCAUCAAAGCUGUUCUGUGUUAUGAUUGGUGACGGAGUACAAAUUCUGGGUAUGGCGAUUGUCACCAUUUUCUUUGCCACCUUUGGAUUCAUGUCUCCUGCGUCUAGAGGAAUGCUGUUAACAGGGAUGAUAUUCCUUUAUAUGCUACUUGGAAUUUUGGCCGGAUAUGCUGCUGUCAGGCUCUGGAGGACUGUAAAAGGAACUUCUGAGGGAUGGAGGUCUGUCUCCUGGUCAACUGCCUGUUUCUUCCCUGGCAUUGUCUUCAUUGUCCUCACUGUAUUGAACUUCAUGCUGUGGUCAAGAAAUAGUACUGGAGCCCUUCCCAUUUCACUUUUCUUCACUCUUCUCUCCUUGUGGUUCUGUAUCUCGGUGCCACUUACCCUUCUAGGUGGUUUCCUUGGAACAAGGGCUGAGCCAAUUGAAUUCCCCGUUCGAACCAAUCAAAUACCAAGAGAAAUCCCUUCAAAAAAUUACUCAUGGCUCCUCAUAUUUGGUGCUGGAACUCUACCUUUCGGAACACUCUUCAUUGAGCUCUUCUUCAUUCUCUCAAGCAUCUGGCUCGGAAGGUUCUAUUAUGUGUUUGGGUUCCUCCUUGUUGUGCUCCUUCUGCUGGUUGUGGUAUGCGCUGAGGUAUCUGUUGUUCUUACGUACAUGCACCUCUGUGCUGAGGACUGGAGGUGGUGGUGGAAAGCUUUCUUUGCCUCUGGAGCAGUGGCAUUUUAUGUGUUCCUCUACUCUAUCAACUACUUGGUGUUUGAUCUGAGAAGCUUGAGUGGGCCAGUUUCUGCUACGCUCUAUAUUGGAUACGCUUUCAUUGUCUCUCUUGCCAUCAUGCUAGCUACUGGGACUGUUGGGUUCCUGACAUCAUUCUCUUUUGUUCACUACCUUUUCUCGAAUGUCAAGAUUGAUUGA